rnacentral:lncRNA from 1 species
CGUUGCAACAUCAAAGGGAAACAACUGCGUUUCCCUUUUUUCCUCCGUAACCGCUCCGACACAAUCGGAGAGAGCGCGCGGAGAGGCGGCGUGGAGUUAGGUCUAGCGGGGAGGCGACGGCGGCGACUGAGGCGGUUCCGACCAGCAGCAGCGGCGUUCGAGGCGGCGCCGGAGAAGCUAGAAGCUGUCGCAGCGGCUUCUCCAAUCGUCGCAUUCCCCUUUACGGCUCUACCCCCACCACACUCUCACCCCGCGGCUGCUUGUUGCUGCGGUUCCGACCAGCGGCGGCGGCGGCUUCUAGCUCCAUUCCCGGCGUCGAGGAUGCCUGAUUGGUGUAGUGGUUCCAACUUCAAGCAUAGAUGGGGCGGUGUGAGGUUUAAGCGCACUAUGCUUGAGUUCAAACCCGAUCAAAGCAAUUCAUCAUAG